rnacentral:rRNA from 1 species
UACGAAGGGGGCUAGCGUUGCUCGGAAUCACUGGGCGUAAAGCGCACGUAGGCGGAUUGCUAAGUCAGGGGUGAAAUCCUGGAGCUCAACUCCAGAACUGCCUUUGAUACUGGCGAUCUUGAGUUCGGGAGAGGUGAGUGGAACUCCGAGUGUAGAGGUGAAAUUCGUAGAUAUUCGGAAGAACACCAGUGGCGAAGGCGACUCACUGGCCCGAUACUGACGCUGAGGCGCGAAAGCGUGGGGAGCAAACAGG